UACGUAGGGGGCAAGCGUUGUCCGGAAUUAUUGGGCGUAAAGCGCGUGUAGGCGGCUUGGCAAGUCAGAUGUGAAAGCCCUCGGCUUAACCGAGGAAGUGCGUCUGAAACUGCUGAGCUUGAGUGUCGGAGAGGAUGGCGGAAUUCCGCAAGUAGAGGUGAAAUUCGUAGAUAUGCGGAGGAACACCGGUGGCGAAGGCGGCCAUCUGGACGACUACUGACGCUGAGACGCGAAAGCGUGGGGAGCAAACAGG
rnacentral:rRNA from 1 species